rnacentral:rRNA from 1 species
UACUAAACUCAUCAUAUAAUAUCACAUUAAACAAAACACUCAAAUACCUACCCUACUAACACCCAAACUAAAGUACUAAAAAGGAAAUACCCAAUAAAAUAAAGUAGUGAUAUUUCACGUACCUUGUGCAUUAUGGUUUUACAAGCUAAAAAUUUAAAAUACUUUCCCGAAUUCUACACGAGCUGCCCCCAUAUAGCUAUGAGCCCACUACUAGUUGUAGCAACAACUUUAGAAAAUAUGCUGGCAGAGGCUACAUACCACACGCGUUAGAAAAUUGCUGGUUCUCAGUAAAAUUUAUUAAUUAAAACAUGGAGCUAUAGCUUCAGUGUAAGACCACAGAGGACAAGCCCUGUGACCUAAAGCCAUAAACAACAAUCAAAAAUAAGUAGGCCUAAAAACAGCCACCUGCAAUACUUUACCGUAACACCCAUAUAAUUCAUACAUUUAUUCUGCACUUAAAAGCUGGGAUUUAAAAUAAACACUCAAUUAUUAAAUAUUAUGUAAAAAUAAGUAUUAUAGAUAAAUAAACAUCAACAUAAAAUAUAUCCACAAACAAAAAAUAAACACUUAUGAAGAACUCGUUCCCGCCUCAACAUGGGAAGUAAUUCCUGCCCAGUGACUAAGUUCAACGGCCGCGGUAUCCUAACCGUGCAAAGGUAGCAUAAUCACUUGCCCAUUAAUUGUGGGCUAGAAUGAAAGGACCAACGAAAUAAAGACUGUCUCCAUAAGCCAUCUAAAAAUUAAUCUCUAACUGAAGACUGUUAGAUUCCGUCGAAGGACAAGAAGACCCUAUAGAGCUUUAUUUUAAUAAAAAAUAUAAAUUUUUAAUAAAUUCGGUUGGGGCGACCAGGGAAGUUACUAAUCAUCCCUAAAUAAAAGAUUAAUUAAUCUAAAUUCUGACCCUUAUUCAAGAUCAAUAGAUCAAGCUACCUUAGGGAUAACAGGCUAAUCUCACUAAAGAGUCCUUAUCAAUAGUGGGGGUUGGCACCUCGAUGUUGGCUUAGGGAAUCUAUGUGGCGCAAAAGUCACAUAAAGAUGGUUUGUUCAACCAAUAACACCCUACAUGAGCUGAGUUCAGACCGGCGUAAGCCAGGUUAGUUUCUAUCCUCGAUAAAAUAAUCUAUUUAUAGUACGAAAGGACCUAAAUAAGAAUAAUAAUUAUAGUUAAAGAAUAAAUAUAAGGCAUAUUUAAACUAAAUACACAUAAACUA